rnacentral:rRNA from 1 species
GUACCUGCAGGAGAAGAAAACGUAUUUUCCAGGUAUUCGUCUAACGGAUAUCUGGUUGUGAUUCCCGUAGUAGUGGCGAGCGAACUGGGAAUAGCCUAAACCAAUUAUGUGUAAGGAGGCGAUGAAGUAUGAGUCGCGUUGCGAUGAUUAUGGAUUCAAAUCCGUACUAUACAGGGCGUGCAUAUUUGGUGUUGUAGGGGUUGUAUUUGAGAAUACUGUAUUAUUCUCAGGAAAGUUAAAAAAUUGCUAGUCUGGUGAAGGUUAUGGAAUGAAUUGCCAUAGAGGGUGAAAGCCCCGUAAACAGAUGGAGUGAUCUUUCUUUAUGACUUCCUAAGUACCACGGAACACGUGCAACUUUGUGGGAAGCUAUCCAGACCAAUGGAUAAGGCUAAAUACUCUUUAUAACCGAUAGUGAACAAGUACCGUGAGGGAAAGGUGAAAAGUACCCUUGGAAAGGGAGUGAAAUAGUAACUGAAACUGUAUACUGACAAGCAGUUGGAGCUCUGAAUCGUAGUGGUUCAGGGUGACAGCGUGCCUAUUGAAGAAUGAUCCGGCGAGUUUAUGCGGAGUGCAAGGUUAACCACGUCUUACGUGGGGAGCCGUAGCGAAAGCGAAUCCCGAUUUUUCGGGAUGGGUCUGAAUAGGGCCUCUAGUACUCAGCAUAAGACCCGAAACCGUGUGAUCUACCCAUGGCCAGGAUGAAUCAGGCAGAAAUGUUUGAGGAGGUCCGAACUCAUUACUGAUGCAAAAGUAUGAGAUGAGCUGUGGAUAGCGGUAACAUGCCAAACGAACACGGUAAUAGCUGGUUCUCCCCGAAAUAACUUUUCGGUUAGCCCUGUGUGGUGGGCAGUGGGGGUAGAGCACUAAUUGGAUCGGGGGGGGAGCAAUCCUUACCCCAUUCAGUUAAACUCCGAAUACCAUUGUUUCUAGCACGGGAGUUAGUCCUAGGGGGCAAGCUCCUAUGGACGCAAGGGAAAAAGCCCAGAUCGAUGGAUAAGGUCCCUAAAUUUGUACUAAGUGUAUAAGGAAGUAAAUUUUCUAAGACAUCCAGGAGGUUGGCUUAGAGGCAGCCAUCCUUUAAAGAGUGCGUAAUAGCUCACUGGCGAAGGAAGUUUGCGCCAUAAAUUUCCGGGACUAAGUACAGUACCGAUGCCACGAUUUCAUAUGUUUUGCAUGUGAGAGGUAGGGGAGCGUUCCGUUUUGCAGUGAAGGUAUACCUGUAAGGGAUACUGGAGUAUGCGGAAGUGAGAAUGCCGGAAUGAGUAGCGAAUUUCAGAGUGAGAAUCUCUGACACCGAACAAGUCUAAGGUUUCCAUCACCACGUUGGUCGAUGAUGGGUUAGUCGGUCCUAACCGCAAUGCCGAACGGUAUUGAGGGAUGGACAACAGGUUGAUAUUCCUGUACUGCUAUUGAAGGAGUGAAGGAGUAACAAGAAAGGCAAAUUUCAGCCUAUCGCUGGUAUAAGCAGUAAGUUAGUCUUUUAUAGGAAAAUCCGUAAGAGGCGUUUUUCAAUUCGUUGAGAUGAAAACGAGCUGUGAUGUAAACUCCGAGUGAUCGGAGGAUUGGAUAGAGUCUUUCUUCAGGAAAAGCUUCUAAACGUUUUUUAGAACGCAAGUUUUAAAAUGUAUUUCAAUGGUAACCGUACCGCAAACCGACUCUGGUAGACUAGUAGAGAAUACUAAGGUGAUCGAGUUAUUCCUUGUUAAGGAACUAAGCAAAUUAGCCCCGUAACUUCGGAAGAAGGGGUUCCUGGUAUUUCAACAUCUUUUUAAGACGAGAAAUAUUAGGACGCAGUGAAAUGGUCUGGACGACUGGUUAACAAAACCACAGGUGCCUGCUAAAGCGAAAGCUGAUGUAUAGGUACUGACACCUGCCCGAUGCCAGUAGGUUAAGGAAGGGGGUGAUUCCCGCUUGCGGGAUGAGCUUUCGACUGAAGCCCUGGUGAAUGGCGGCUGUAAUCCUAACGGUCCUAAGGUAGCGUAAUCCCUCGUCACUUAAUUAGUGACCCGCAUGAAUGGUGUAACGAUCCAGAUACUGUCUCAACAAGGAGCUCGGCGAAAUUGAAAUGGCUGUGAAUAUGCAGUCUACUCGCACCAGGACAGAGAGACCCCAGAAGCUUUACUGCAUCUUUGUAUUGAUCCAAUAUGUUUAUUGCGUAGGAUAGGUGGGAGGCUUUGAGGCUUGGCUUUAGGGCUAAGUUUAGCCAACGGUGAAAUACCACUCUAUUGAUGUGUUGUAUCUAAUCCACCUAUGGUGGAGACAGUGCAUGGUGGGCAGUUUAACUGGGACGGUUGCUUGCUAAAAAAUAACACAAGCGCACAAAGGUUCCCUCACUGCGGAUGGAAAUCGCAGGAAGAGUGUAUUGGCAUAAGGGAGCUUUACUGCAAGACUGACAGGUCAAGCAGUUACGAAAGUAGGUCAAAGUGAUCCGCUGAUGGCUAUUGGUAGCGUCAGUGCUUAACGGACACAAGCUACUCUGGGGAUAACAGGCUCGAAACCACCCGAUAGUCCAUAUUGACGGUGGUACGUGGCACAUCGAUGUCGGCUCGUCGCUUCCUGGGGGUGGAGAAGCCCCCAAGGGUUGGACUGUUCGCCCAUUAAAGCGGCGCGUUAGCUGGGUUCAGACCGACGUGAGUCAGGUCGGUCCCUAUCCGGUGUGAGCGUUGGAUAAUUGAGGAGAUUCUUUCUUAGUACGCAAGGAUCAGAAAGAGGUAACCUCUUGUGUACCAGUUAUACCUUGAUGCAAUUUGAGGUGUAAUGCUGGGUAGCGACGUUGCUAUAGGAUAAGUACUGAAAGCAUAUAAGUACGAAGCCAACUCCAAGAUUAAUUAUCCUAUUCCGAUUUAUCGGAAGAGAGGUCACCAGUAGACCACUGGUUUUUUCGUAUACCAUUCGUGGUGUACGAUUGAUAGGCUCUAGGUGUAAGAUCUGCAAAGAUUGUAUGUC